GAUGAACGCUGGCGGUAUGCUUAACACAUGCAAGUCGAACGGACUCUUCGGAGUUAGUGGCGGACGGGUGAGUAACGCGUGAGAAUCUGGCUUUGGGUUCGGGACAACCACUGGAAACGGUGGCUAAUACCGGAUGUGCCGAGAGGUAAAAGAGAAAUUGCCUGAAGAUGAGCUCGCGUCUGAUUAGCUAGUUGGUGAGGUAAAGGCUCACCAAGGCAGCGAUCAGUAGCUGGUCUGAGAGGAUGACCAGCCACACUGGGACUGAGACACGGCCCAGACUCCUACGGGAGGCAGCAGUGGGGAAUUGUCCGCAAUGGGCGAAAGCCUGACGGAGCAAUACCGCGUGAGGGAAGAAGGCUCUUGGGGUGUAAACCUCUUUUCUUAGGGAAGAGCAAAAUGACGGUACCUAAGGAAUCAGCAUCGGCUAACUCCGUG
rnacentral:rRNA from 1 species